AUUGAACGCUGGCGGCAUGCCUUACACAUGCAAGUCGAACGGCAGCACGGGAGCUUGCUCCUGGUGGCGAGUGGCGAACGGGUGAGUAAAGCAUCGGAACGUGCCCUGGAGUGGGGGAUAACGUAGCGAAAGUUACGCUAAUACCGCAUAUUCUGUGAGCAGGGAAGCAGGGGAUCGCAAGACCUUGCGCUCUGGGAGCGGCCGAUGUCGGAUUAGCUAGUUGGUGGGGUAAAGGCCUACCAAGGCGACGAUCCGUAGCGGGUCUGAGAGGAUGAUCCGCCACACUGGGACUGAGACACGGCCCAGACUCCUACGGGAGGCAGCAGUGGGGAAUUUUGGACAAUGGGCGAAAACCUGAUCCAGCCAUGCCGCGUGAGUGAAGAAGGCCU
rnacentral:rRNA from 1 species